ACCAGCUCUUGUGCUUCUUGUAAUAACUCAUGAGUCACUUGUCAGCUUUUGUUUUCCUGACAAGGAGCCUUUCUUCUGCUGUAAAACAAAGAAUGCUUACCAUUGGCUUUUAAAAGCACACGUGUCCCAUUUGCAACAGAUAUUAUCUAAAUGGUUAAGCAAAAGUGGAGAAAAACGUGGUGCGUGGUUUCCUCCGCUGUUUCAGUAGCCUGAACUUCCUGACGCUUCUUCCAGACAGUCAAUGAUGCUCACACUGAUGAAGGAGGCCCGGCGAGGGCUCAGAAGGACAACAGGAUGCCGUUACCUUGUCUCCCAGGCGCCAAUCCAUCAUGUCCACAAACUGGAAGACAAGAGCAACGACGGAAAUGUACGCCUGCAGCUUCUCUGGUGACGGCUGGACUAUGCAGAAUAGAAGGACCAGGGGGUGGCCACCUUGCUUCAAAAGCUUCACUUUGAUGCCUCCUCUUGAGCUUGCUCUUGGAUUCCCAUGACAGAACUCUCACCUGCCACUGCCUCCCUCUGACCCAUCACAACUAAGAAUGCUCAGACCGCGGGAUCACAGUAUGUGGAAUUUAUCUUUGCCCCAGCACACAUCCUGGUUUUGACAUUUAGUAGCUAUUUGAUAAAUGUUCAAAUCGCAAAUAAAUAAGUGUGGGAAUAAUAACUAGGGCUGUGGGCACAUUUUAAUGGUGAGCUCCUUAGCAAACAUGAGACGGAACAGAGUGGCCUGCUAUCGUUAUUUUUCUCUAAUGAAUCCUUAUGACCAAAUAUUUUUCUGAUCAUAAAGGAAGCCAAGAGUUAAAAGAUGAGGGAGGGGAAAAACAAGGAAUUGACAAGACAUUGGUUAGAAAUAAUGCUUCUGGGUUCCCCUGGGGGUAGAAGACAUCAGUGGAUUUACAAAUUAAUUUUUCCCCCAGUUACAAGCCUACAUUCCUUUUGGGAGGCAGGCAAGGAAAUAUAUAAAACAACUUUUCCUUGAAUCCUUGUUAGACAGAAGACAUUACUCAUACAAAGAAGGCAAGCACGAAACUGCCAGUUCAAGGAAUAACAAGGGCAGCAAAAGUUUUAGUUUCAUGGAGUUAAUUUAAAAACUGGCCAAAGAUAUGGUAAAAAUAAGCAAGAUGGAAAGUAAAACAGAAAGAAAAGAAGCAGAGAAAAAGAAGUGGGAGGGAAGAACAGCAAACUCCAUUCAUUUCAUGAAUGUUUCUUGAACACCUAUUAUAUUCCAGACCCUGCGACAGGCGCUGGGGGUGUAUCAGGAGCUUAUAUGCUAGUGUUGGGGGAAGAUACUUAAAUUUUAGAACUAACUGGAUAAUAUGUCAGGGAGGGAUAAAUUCUACAGAGGACAUGAAGAAAGGUGAGGAUACAGAGCGGGCAGGGUGAGCUAUUUCGUAGGGAGUGGUGAGGGAAGGCCCCUCUGAGCCCAAGAUCCUUGAGCAGACCUGACCAACUGAGGGACUGAGCGUGAGGACAUCUGUGGAAAGAACAGCGCAGGCCUAGGAAUGGCGAGGGCGAACCUUAACAUUUUAACAAAGUAACGCAUAAAA